GACGAACGCUGGCGGCGUGCUUAACGCAUGCAAGUCGAACGGAAAGGCCCUGCUUUUGUGGGGUGCUCGAGUGGCGAACGGGUGAGUAACACGUGAGUAACCUGCCCUUGACUUUGGGAUAACUUCAGGAAACUGGGGCUACUACCGGAUAGGAGCUCCUGCUGCAUGGUGGGGGUUGGAAAGUUUCGGCGGUUGGGGAUGGACUCGCGGCUUAUCAGCUUGUUGGUGGGGUAGUGGCUUACCAAGGCUUUGACGGGUAGCCGGCCUGAGAGGGUGACCGGCCACAUUGGGACUGAGAUACGGCCCAGACUCCUACGGGAGGCAGCAGUGGGGAAUAUUGCACAAUGGGCGGAAGCCUGAUGCAGCAACGCCGCGUGCGGGAUGACGGCCUUCGGGUUGUAAACCGCUUUCGCCUGUGACGAAGCGUGAGUGACGGUAAUGGGUAAAGAAGCACCGGCUAACUACGUG
rnacentral:rRNA from 1 species